rnacentral:lncRNA from 1 species
AGACUUCCCAAAGAAGGUGAUGCCGAAGCUGAGGUCGGAAAUUACGAAGAUCAGCUAUGAAGGCCUGAGGAGAGAAGACACAUAGUCAUGCUGACUAAACCAGAUCACCUAGAAUUACCAAAUGGAAAGGCAUUGUGUUAAGAAAAGGAUUGGUAGACAGAGAGAUGCACUGUUGAGAUUACCCUUCAGGAAGGACUUGCUACCGACUACAGGGGACAGGAAUCAGCAGACAUCCUCCAGCCAUCAGCUUCUUCAGGAUCUACCUCAGCGUCAAGGAACCACCUGACCUGAGGUCUCAUUCUUCCUUGGGCAGACUACAUCUUAUAACAAAGUGAGCAUCUACUUGUUUCCAAAGUUAUUUGGGUCAGCAUUUUCCUCCACCCACCACUUAAAACUGAUUUGUUUCAUACAUUUGAAAUGUAUGAAAAGCCAGAAAUCCAGGACCCACCCUGGCCUGCUCCCUUUUUCUCACCUACUGUGUUAAGGAUAAGUCAAUUGAGCUUCACUUCUCUAAUUGAAAUCACCGUGCUGAUGGAGUCUGUCUGUGGAAAUGAAAGGUGGCUACCAUAAUCUGUUGGGAGUUGAAUUAAUCCUCUGGGAGUGAGGCUGACCUAAUUACUCAGAAAUACUGGGCUUGCUUUCAUUCUGUGGAAUACAGCCAUGAGAAAGAGGCCAGCAUGCCAUUUCCUAAUCUUUUCUUGAAUUGCCUGAAACUCACCUAACAUGAAACUGAGAAGCCUUUUCAUUUGAAAGUGGUAUUUCUUAUGUUUUUUAUCUUUUUGCUUGAAAGUAUUCUUAAACUAAAGAAAGGAGAAACAGAAAAGGUGAAGAAGCCAAGAGGCUGGAGUUUCCUUUUGAAUGGAUAUUCAUCCAUGAAGCUGUUGAUUCUGUUUUUCUGUUCCUCCAGAUGUCUACACUUUUACCUCUGCUUGCCUGAUACAACCACCACCAGUCACCUCACAGAAUAACUCACUCCUUAAGAAUCUGAUCAGGAAUCAGCCUUCCCUGAUCACAAACACUGAGUUUAGAAGUCCCUCCACAGUGUCCCCCGUAACCCUGUGCUAC